GAUGAACGCUGGCGGCGUGCCUAAUACAUGCAAGUCGAGCGAACGGACGAGAAGCUUGCUUCUCUAAUGUUAGCGGCGGACGGGUGAGUAACACGUGGAUAACCUACCUAUAAGGCUGGGAUAACUUCGGGAAACCGUAGCUAAUACCGGAUAAUAUUUUGAACCGCAUGGUUCAAAAGUGAAAGACGGUCUUGCUGUCACUUAUAGAUGGAUCCGCGCUGCAUUAGCUAGUUGGUAAGGUAACGGCUUACCAAGGCAACGAUGCAUAGCCGACCUGAGAGGGUGAUCGGCCACACUGGAACUGAGACACGGUCCAGACUCCUACGGGAGGCAGCAGUAGGGAAUCUUCCGCAAUGGGCGAAAGCCUGACGGAGCAACGCCGCGUGAGCGAUGAAGGUCUUCGGAUCGUAAAACUCUGUUAUUAGGGAAGAACAUAUGUGUAAGUAACUGUGCACAUCUUGACGGUACCUAAUCAGAAAGCCACGGCUAACUACGUG
rnacentral:rRNA from 1 species